rnacentral:snoRNA from 12 species
UGUGAGAGUGAUGAGUGGCACUGAAAAGUUGGCGUGUUGUUGCAGUGGCAACAAAACCCCAAUCCGAACCGCCAUGGGGACACACCAUGUGCACAGGGGCCAUCUGACUCCAC